UACGAAGGGGGCUAGCGUUGUUCGGAAUCACUGGGCGUAAAGCGCACGUAGGCGGACUUUUAAGUCAGGGGUGAAAUCCCAAGGCUCAACCUUGGAACUGCCUUUGAUACUGGAAGUCUUGAGUGUGGAAGAGGUUGGUGGAACUGCGAGUGUAGAGGUGAAAUUCGUAGAUAUUCGCAAGAACACCGGUGGCGAAGGCAGUGACCUGGGCUAACAUUGACGCUGAGGUGCGAAAGCGUGGGGAGCGAACGGG
rnacentral:rRNA from 1 species